AUAAAGCUUGCCGUGAUCCACAGGCCCUUAAUUUCUCCCACCUGCCUCAUUAAGUGCAAUAAACCGCAGCUGGUCCUGCAGCAAGAGCUGGCUCCCCUCUGACUGUGAGAGCAGCCCCAAAUUACAAAGGCAUUGCACUGAGGUUGCCCAUCCCCAGCUGGAUCGGGGCUGCCAACACUUCCCAGAAACUAAGGAAGGGCCUAGGUGCAAUGUGGCUGCCAACACAGCUUCUUUUGGGAGCUUCUUGACGCGAUGUUGGCUGCCCAACUUGUUCCUCCCGUCCUGUUGCUGUGUGCUGAUGGAUGGAUGGGUUUCUGCAGAGGCACAAUUGGGGACAGGUCCUUUUCCCUGUCUGGGCUGAUGUAGGGGGUGACAACUGCUGCUCUGCUUACAGGUCUGCUCACCGGUGUGAGAUUUGCUUGCAGACAUCUGGCUGGGCUGAAGAAACCUUUCCGAAGAAGAUGUCAAGGUCUGCAUGUGCAGAGGGUCUUCAGGAGGUGCUGCCAGGCUCUUCUCGCCACCCCAGGGGUGUGGAGGAUGGGGUUUGGAUCCUAUAUCCACAAAGCAGAGUGUAUGUGGCUGACAAGCAUCCCUCCCUCCUCAGCACAGCCUGCUGGGCUGGUUUCAUGGUGCUUUUGGGACUCGCCUUGCCCUGAUGCUUUGCAGAUGCCAAAUCCCCCUGGCCCCAGAACAAUUCAGCCUCAGGCAGGUUGCUCGACGUUACGCAGCCCGUCCUGCAGCGGCCAGGAAGCCAAGCGAGGAGAGGACUCUCCAAGAGGCUGCAUGGGGUGUUACAGAGGCUGGUGGAGCUGGCUCAGACCAGCUGAUGAUGGUCAGAACUAAAACAUCCCCUUUGGGGAUGACUGGCGGUUGAAGUGGUUGCAGACAGCUCCGCAGGACAGUGUUUGGCACUCCCCCAGCGCGCGAACACAAUUGCUGUGCUUAAAUUAGGAAACCGGAGUACUGUGGUGGCUGUGGUGUUCCCUGGUUGCACUGCAGCCAUAGUACUAAAUCUCUAAUCAGUCUAUUUAUUCCUUUGAUGCACAGCCAAUGUCAGCAUUUAUACACAAUAUCAGGUGUAUAGGCAACUGCAGAAGCCCCUGGAGAUACGUUCAUCCUUCAGCACUGGGGUCUGACCUGUCUGCAUGACAUGAAGUGGAGAUAGGGACAUCAAACCAUGGCAUUUAAGUGAUGGAGAGAGGCUACAUCAGAGGUGAACACAAAUACAAGUCUUUAAAUGUCGCUGCUGCUUCUUGCCUGGGAUAGGGGCAGAUGCAAGGGCACCAGCGGGAAGCGACGCCUGCUGCAGAGCCCCUGCGAUUAUGGUUUGCAGGGGUCGCAGCAACACUGAAGACAUGAGCGAUGGUGCUAGGAUGCUCUGGGACCUCCGGUCCAAGCUCUCCAGGAAUUAGAGCACAGCCUGCGAUGCCUUCGCUGCUGUGUCAGCUGAAAUAUACCAGCACAAGAGUUUUUCCUGGCUUAUCACGCAGGGGAGGACGGAUGAAUAUUGUUCAAACACCACGAGCCAAGGAAGGGUGCUAACGGGUCGCUGAAAUCCCAGUAAGACUUACUUUUGUCUGGCUGCUCAGCACGACGCAAUGACUGACACUGGAAUGAGUCCUCGGGGCGCGCAGCUCAGUGAUUAGUCAGUUCUCAUUACCACUUCCUCCGAUUAACGGCGAGCAAAUCAGCGUGCUUGAGUCAACAAGGACCUCGGGAGAAACCCAACUUCCCCAAAACGCUGCCAGAUGUCAGCAGACGCUCCAAUCCCCCUGCCUUGACCUUUUUGUGCCUUAACACGUAAUUAACUGUUAAGGCAGUGAUGUUGCUGUCUCUCUACCCCUUCUGCUGUAGCCUGCCAAUGAACAUCGUUAGCGGUAAUGAAGCAGUACGGGCACAGCUCGGCGGGCACAUGCUGCUGCAGAGCAUUGCAGAAACCCAACCUUAAAUCAUUUUGGGCUUUUUUGUUUGGGUUUUCCUUGUUCCCACUUGCUGCUUCUGCAGUUUCU